rnacentral:rRNA from 1 species
GGACUACUGGGGUAUCUAAUCCCGUUUGCUCCCCUGGCCUUCGAGCAUCAGCGUCAGAAACUGUCCAGUGAGCCGCCUUCGCCGCUGGUCUUCCUCACGAUAUCUACGCAUUUCACUGCUACACCGUGAAUUCCACUCACCUCUCCAGUCCUCUAGCCAAGCAGUAUCGAAUGCAGUUCUGAGGUUGAGCCCCAGGAUUUCACAUCCGACUUACCCGACCGCCUACGCUCCCUUUACGCCCAAUGAAUCCGAACAACGCUUGAGACCUCUGUAUUACCGCGGCUGCUGGCAC